GCUGCCUUGGCUCAGUAGGUAGAGCACGUCCUUGGUAAGGACGAGGUCGGCGGUUCGAAUCCGCUAGGCAGCU
rnacentral:tRNA from 1 species